rnacentral:rRNA from 1 species
AUUAGAGUUUGAUCCUGGCUCAGGACGAACGCUGGCGGCGUGCCUAGCACAUGCAAGUCGAACGAAGUAUAUUUUCGGAUAUGCUUAGUGGCAGACGGGUGAGUAACGCGUGAACAAUCUGCCCUGUACACAGGAAUAGCCUCGGGAAACUGGGAUUAAAACCGGAUAACACUUUCUGGCCGCAUGGCUGGGAAGUCAAAUUGAUUUAGAGGUACAGGAUGAGUUCGCGUCUGAUUAGCUAGUUGGUGAGGUAACGGCUCACCAAGGCGACGAUCAGUAGCCGGCCUGAGAGGGUGAACGGCCACACUGGAACUGAGACACGGUCCAGACUCCUACGGGAGGCAGCAGUGGGGAAUAUUGCACAAUGGAGGAAACUCUGAUGCAGCGACGCCGCGUGAGUGAAGAAGGUCUUCGGAUCGUAAAACUCUGUCCUUGGUGACGAAAAAAUGACGGUAGCCAAGGAGGAAGCCCCGGCUAACUACGUGCCAGCAGCCGCGGUAAUAAU